UUUAUAAACUUUUAAAUGUGCAGCUUUAUCUGCUGAGAGAAAGCCAAACGGAAGAGCGUGGAGCUGUGGCUGUGUUCACCUGGGAACACGGGGUUCAGGAUGCGCCUGCUUUCUUGUUAGUACUUUAUUUUCUAAAUAGUCUCCUGUGAACAUGUUCUAUUCAAUAACCAUUGCAAAAUGGUAUUUUUGAAGCAAGUUGUCAGGUUUGAUGGCAUCUCUGACAGAUGGCAUGCCAGCCGGCACAUGUCCACUGCGCAGAGGUCUCGGCAUGCCCCAUGUCACCCACUCCACUCUGUGACAGUUGGGAUGAUUAGAAAAUGUCCCUAUGAUUGAAUCCAAAUCUGUCACCCUGUUAAUUCUGUCCACUGAACAAAAGUGCAUCUCCUCUGCCAUAUGGUGAGGCCUCAACCUCAUGAUGACAGCUGUCCUGUGAGCGCCCGAGUUUCCCCACUUAGCUGUUCUUAGCUUCUUGACCCAUCCCCAGCACGGACCACUUUUACUUGGCUCUCAUGUCAGAACUGUGUGUUAGGUAAGUAAAAAUGUAAUGAUUGGAGUUAGGUCUGACUUUCUUGAUUAUUGGUGGAGGAAGGUGUGGAAAUCUAUGUUUUGAAGUCCAUUGUGGUCACUUCUCUAUGACCUAACUUGGUUUCCAUAACAACAUUUUCUCAGGCCACAUCACAAGGUAAUCAGUUUAUCCCUCCUGUCCUAUUAGCACCUUACCGCUGUGUCAGUGGAAUGAAGCCAGUCCGUCAAGGUAUCUUUUUAAAAGGCUGCAUGGCAAGCCAUCUGCUGGGGGAAUAUAAUGUAGCUAUCAACACUACCAAGGCAAUGAUCCUCCAAACUGCCCAUAGAAUGAGAUUCUGCAACUAAAGGGAGACUAGAAGUUCGUAUGUUCACUGAGAUGGUUCACAGCAAAGAUAAA
rnacentral:lncRNA from 1 species